AGAUAACUUCUCCCACCCUACCCACCCCCACACGAAGAGAUGGAGAAAGCUCACAUCCAAUCUCCUCUGCCACCGGCCCACUCUGCUCCAUUACCUCUUCAAUUUCUUACUUCUCACACACAGACUCUACUGCCACCAUCUAGUCCUCUUCGAUUCAUCUGCUAACUUUGCUAACUUGUUAUUUCUCUUCAGCCUCCACCCACAUGUGGCGCGGCUAUUUACGCUGCCUCGUUCUGGAGAUUUUCAAUAGUUUUCAAAUGGUAGGAGGGGCAUGCGAUAAAGGUGAAAUAAUGGACAGCUAUAUGAAGCUCACUAUGGUGGUCAGAGAUGUUUGGUAAAUGGAUGAUAGAUUUGAAGAAUAGGGGGUACUGAGUGAUCAAGAAACCCUACAUAUGGAUAAGCAUUGCGCCGAGAGGGGAGAUGGUUAACUACCUGGAUCCAGAAGGGAGGGCGGAGCUAACCGCAGAAGAUUUGAUGGCGGAAUCGGGGGUUGUGGAGAGUGAGUUGAUUCAGGUGAAUGUGAAUUUCAUUGGGGAUUGCCAUGUGGUGGUGGAGGAGAUAGAAAACUCUCCAGGAACAACUCUUUCUAUGUUAGUUUUUCUAGGUGUAGUUCUUUAACUUUUUUGCUUCUUUUCUUUUUCUAUUUCGACCCACGUCUCUUUUAAUCAUAUUGUGUGGAAAAAUUGUUGAUUUUGCACUCUUCAGUUUAUUAGUUUUCUUCUGAUUUUAUUUGUCUUGGUUAUGUUUGAAUCAAUGCCAGGUAUAUUCCUAAAGGGAUACUUUUUUAUCUUCUUUGCUUGGAACCAGAGAGACCUUGGAACUUGACUGUAUGAUCUAUCUUUACAUUACUCUGAUCAAUUUUCUUACUGUUAUUCCUUUAGCCACUAUUUGAUAUAUACCUAUUUCAUAUUAGUGCUUAUUAUGGUAUGGAAUCAAUUUGUUGGUCAAUUUUUUGAUGAUGUUAGUUUCUACAUUUGCUAGUUUGUAUAACAUAACUUAGUAGCUUCUUUUAAAUGGAUAUUAGUGAACCUGAAAAAAGAAUAUAAAUUUUGUUUGGAGCUUCGAACUAAUUCUCAUAUUCGCUUGAUUUGUCUGAAGUUUAUUGAACUAAUUUUGUUUAUUUAAAUUGUGCUUGGAUAAUCUAGUUGUGUCUACUACAGCCUGGGGUCUCAUUCCUAAGCUGAAUGUACAAAUAAAAUUUUGAUCUCAUUGAGCCUGAGUCAACUUUUAUAAACCUUUUGUUGGAUUUAGAACUUUCAAGAUACCUGCUGUAUUUCCGAUAUAUUUUGUGGUAGAGAACAAGUGCUUUGGAGAAAUCUCUGAGGGAAAAUGUUGGUUGGCAGAAAUUGAUAAAGAGAGGCAUGCACGCUUUGAAGAAGCCACAAUACGAGUAAUGCUAUAUUGAUCCUGGAAUUGCAAGUGAGAAAGAGUUGGAGGAGCUCAAGGACAUACAAGAAGACAUCAGAGAAGAGAAGCAGCAGAUGCUCCACACAACUCAUUUUUCUACUAAGUGUUGAGAUCAUGUGUUGGAUACUUUUUGAUAAGAGAGAUUUACAUCUUGCAGAAGACAGUAGAGAGUUGGAAGAAUAACACGGUAGCAUGAGAAUUAUGUAUUGGUUUUAGUUUUAGCCAUCUCAUUAGAUAGUUGUUAUGUUAGUGCUACUUCAUCAAGAGCUGAUAAGAUUCUCUAGAUUUUUUAGUUAUUUUUCUCAAUUACUUUUUUAUUGAUACAACUUUGUAAUUGUUUCAAAUUUGAAAUAAAUAGAAAAUAUUUUAUUUCAA